rnacentral:lncRNA from 1 species
UUAAAAAAAGGUUAAACUUCGAAUACCUCUAUGGUUUCGCAUUUUUCACUUUAUUAUAUUGUGGUUUAAAGCGUAUCGAUUUAGUACCCUGUGGACCUAUGGUUUCAUUUUUUUCUUUUCGUCAACCCCUCCGUUAAUAUUUCAUUAAAUCAUGUACAAAAAGCUUUAAAUACUCCACCUAGGUUUAUCGAAUAUUUAUUUUAGUACCAUUUAGUUUAAUUUUGUUACUGAUUUAACGAAAAAAUUAGUAGUGGGGAUAAUAAAAAUAAAAAAAUAAAAUCACAGGGUACGAAAGUGAUACAUUUUAAACCACAUAGUACUAAAAUGAGAAAAUGUGAAAUCAUGUGGGUGACAUUUAAAGUUUUUCCUUAAAAAAAAGAAAAGAAAAGAAAAGAAAAAUUUUAUGUAAAAAACAGUAGAAAUAAAUGGUGGAUUGUUUGCGA